rnacentral:rRNA from 1 species
AUUGAACGCUGGCGGCAGGCCUAACACAUGCAAGUCGAGCGAGCGGCGGACGGGUGAGUAAUGUUGGGGAAACUGACUGAUGGAGGGGGAUAACUACUGGAAACGGUAGCUAAUACCGCAUACCAUCAGAUGUGCCCAGAUGGGAUUAGCUAGUAGGUGGGGGAACGGCUCACCUAGGCGACGAUCCCUAGCUGGUCUGAGAGGACGACCAGCCACACUGGAACUGAGACACGGUCCCGACUCCGACGUGAGGCAGCAGUGGGGAAUAUUGCACAAGGGGCGCAAUCCUGAUGCAGCAAUGCCGCGUGUGUGAAGAAGGCCUUCGGGUUGUAAAGCACUUUCAGCGGGGAGGCGUUACCCGCAGAAGAAGCACCGGCUAACUCCGUGCCAGCAGCCGCGGUAAUAC